rnacentral:rRNA from 1 species
GAUGAACGCUGGCGGCGUGCCUAAUACAUGCAAGUCGAGCGAACGGACGAGAAGCUUGCUUCUCUGAUGUUAGCGGCGGACGGGUGAGUAACGCGUGGAUAACCUACCUAUAAGACUGGGAUAACUUCGGGAAACCGGAGCUAAUACCGGAUAAUAUUUUGAACCGCAUGGUUCAAAAGUGAAAGACGGUCUUGCUGUCACUUAUAGAUGGAUCCGCGCUGCAUUAGAUAGUUGGUAAGGUAACGGCUUACCAAGGCAACGAUGCAUAGCCGACCUGAGAGGGUGAUCGGCCACACUGGAACUGAGACACGGUCCAGACUCCUACGGGAGGCAGCAGUAGGGAAUCUUACGCGAUGGGCGAAAGCCUGACGGAGCAACGCCGCGUGAGUGAUGAAGGUCUUCGGAUCGUAAAACUCUGUUAUUAGGGAAGAACAUAUGUGUAAGUAACUGUGCACAUCUUGACGGUACCUAAUCAGAAAGCCACGGCUAACUACGUG